AAGCUAAUAUUUUUGGUAGUUUGAACCUACUUAGCAGACUUAUUAAGUCUUUAGUUUU
rnacentral:tRNA from 1 species